CCCCCUCUCUCUGUCUACCUCUCUGCUCCUCUCAGUCAUCAGUUCAAACCCUAGAAAAUUGGGGAUUUUUCCAAUAUCAAAGGAUUGACCAAUCUUUCAGUCACAGCUUAGAAUCCAUCCUAUCAUUCAACUCAAUUGUGUUAUCCUUUUCCUUUAUUACAUUCAUUAGUAUUAGCUUGGCAACAAGGUCAAUAGAACCUGUUAACAAAUAUUUAAUAACCAUUAGAAGCUUUCAUCCACUGCUUCUGGGAAAUGCCUCCCCGAGUUGUUUAUUGCGAACUAUGUAUAGGUACAUGGGUCUGUAAUUAUUUUUGUUGAUGAACAGAUAGUGGAAGUAAUGACCCAGAUUGUGGUUGAAAAAGUGCUUAGUUCAUAUUUCAAUAUGUAGGCAUAUGUUGAAAAUUUUGGAGCGGAGCAAGGGAUGUGGAGGUGGAUCUUAUUUGGGAUAGGCUUCGUUUUUGGGAUUCCCUUUGGCCGUUGGUAUCUUCAGAAGUUAAGGAUUGUUCCUUUCAAGGUAUAUUGUAUUAUUAGAAUUCUGCUGUCAACUACAAGUUUUGUUCGUCUAGUGCCAUGUAUCUUUGUUAAGUUGUUUACCUAGUAUAGCUAGACCAGUGGACAACUUGUCCCUUGUAUUGUUAUGUUCUCUUCUUAAUGAAAUUAUGUUUCUUAUUA